rnacentral:rRNA from 1 species
GCCCCGGCUAACUACGUGCCAGCAGCCGCGGUAAUACGUAGGGGGCGAGCGUUAUCCGGAAUUAUUGGGCGUAAAGAGUGCGUAGGUGGCUGUGCAAGCGCAUGGUUUAAGAUAACGGCUUAACCGUUGUAUGCCGAGCGAACUGGACAGCUUGAGUACAGGAGAGGAAAGCGGAAUUCCUAGUGUAGCGGUGAAAUGCGUAGAUAUUAGGAAGAAUACCAGAGGCGAAAGCGACUUUCUAGCGAUGAUCUGACGCUGAGGUACGAAAGCGUGGGAAGCAAACAGGAUUAGAUACCCUGGUAGUCCACGCCGUAAACGAUGAGUGUUAGAUGUCCGAGGUAAACUUGGGUGUCGGAAGCCAACGCGAUAAACACUCCGCCUGGGGAGUACGCACGCA